rnacentral:lncRNA from 1 species
UUUUUGAUAUGUUAAAUACCAGCUCCGCCAGUCGCUAUAGACUUGUGGCCCCUUGGCGCUGCACAUUUCUUCCGUGUUCCUUCUUUAAUAGAUCCCGAAAUUCCAUUAAAAUUGCUGUUACGUAAUCCCGGGUCCGCUAACACCAGCAUUUUCGAUCCACAUGCGUCAACAGACCCAAUCUUUCCCUCCAAAAGACUAGCCUGUUAGG